GACAGAGGGUGCAAGCGUUGUUCGGAAUUACUGGGCGUAAAGUGUGCGCAGGCGGCCGCGCAAGUCGAGUGUGAAAGCCCCGGGCUUAACUUGGGAAUUGCGCUCGAAACUACGUGGCUGGAGUGUGGCAGAGGAAGGUGGAAUUCCAGGUGUAGCGGUGAAAUGCGUAGAGAUCUGGAGGAACACCGAUGGCGAAGGCAAUCCCCUGGACCUGUACUGACGCUCAUGCACGAAAGCGUGGGGAGCAAACAGG
rnacentral:rRNA from 1 species